CCCCGCCCGUCGGGGGAGGGCGGGCCCCGCGGACCUCGGUCAGAGACCCCGGACCCCGAUCCUCACCCUCGAUGCCGGACCCUCACCCCCUUCCCCAAGCUCCUCAGCGUCCAGCCCCCGCCCCACCCCCAGCUCCUGGACCGACGACAGACAUCGGCCUUUGGGGCCCUGGGGGUCAGGUCAGACGGCAUCCCCGUCCCCAGGAUACCACUACACGACAGUAAGAAGAGCCCAGGCAGAAAGCACCUGCCGUGUGCCAGGCCUCCCUGACAGCAGCUCUUAGCGGUGGGAGCUUGAUGUCCCCUCCUGCACACGGGGACGCAGCUGGAGGUCUGGCUCCCAGCGUUGGCGCCACCGCCUGCUGCACCUCCUGUGCCCCGCUCCGCCCCGCUCUGGACACCAGGAACAGAAGGGGGCGUCAUACGGUCGGGUACCUACCUUUGCUAGGAUGAUCGGGGACUGCUGGGGUGCACAGGUUCUGAAGAUCCCUUUGGGAAGUGUAGAGAGCUGUACAACCACGUCGUUGUCCGGAAAGACACUGUAUCCCUUGCCUCAGACAAGAUGAAAUGAGAAAGCCGAGGCAGGGAGAGACGGUGAUUAUGUCACACUGCCAGCUAGAGACUUGGAGCCACACCUUGUUUUCCCUGUGGAAGGCACUCUGCCUGCCACCUGUGUCAGGUUAGGUCUGAUUUGCAGAUUGCACAGCUGACUUUGGCCUUGACCAGGGCACAACCAGGCCAUCCCUGAAACCCAUAGUGGGCUCUCAGCUGGGGACCUUGAUUUGCAUUUGUGAGCGCUCUGCACCCUGACUCUGGAUACAGGAUUUUGUUUCUUCAUUAUGGGCUAGUGAAACCCUUUCAGAUAUUCUUCACAUUUAAAAAUCUGAAUAAAUUGAGGUUUAAACGUGAA